rnacentral:rRNA from 1 species
AACGAACGCUGGCGGCAUGCCUAACACAUGCAAGUCGAACGAAGUCUUCGGACUUAGUGGCGCACGGGUGCGUAACGCGUGGGAAUCUGCCCUUGGGUGCGGAAUAACUUCUCGAAAGGAUGCUAAUACCGCAUAAUGUCGUAAGACCAAAGAUUUAUCGCCCAAGGAUGAGCCCGCGUAAGAUUAGCUAGUUGGUGGGUAAAAGCCUACCAAGGCGACGAUCUUUAGCUGGUCUGAGAGGAUGAUCAGCCACACUGGGACUGAGACACGGCCCAGACUCCUACGGAGGCAACAGUGGGGGAAUAUUGGACAAUGGGCGAAAGCCUGAUCCAGCAAUGCCGCGUGAGUGAUGAAGGCCCUAGGGUU